rnacentral:rRNA from 1 species
GACGAAGGUGGCUAGCGUUAUUCGGAUUUACUGGGCAUAAAGCGCGCGUAGGCGGCUUGGCAAGUCGGAGGUGAAAGCCUGCAGCUCAACUGCGGUGUGUCUCCGAAACUGCCGAGCUUGAGUGCGGGAGGGGUGAUUGGAACUCCAGGUGUAGCGGUGAAAUGCGUAGAUAUCUGGAGGAACACCAGAGGCGAAGGCGAAUCACUGGACCGCAACUGACGCUGAGGCGCGAAAGCUAGGGGAGCAAACAGG